GAUGAACGCUGGCGGCGUGCCUAAUACAUGCAAGUCGAGCGAAUGGAUUAAGAGCUUGCUCUUAUGAAGUUAGCGGCGGACGGGUGAGUAACACGUGGGUAACCUGCCCAUAAGACUGGGAUAACUCCGGGAAACCGGGGCUAAUACCGGAUAACAUUUUGAACCGCAUGGUUCGAAAUUGAAAGGCGGCUUCGGCUGUCACCUAUGGAUGGACCCGCGUCGCAUUAGCUAGUUGGUGAGGUAACGGCUCACCAAGGCAACGAUGCGUAGCCGACCUGAGAGGGUGAUCGGCCACACUGGGACUGAGACACGGCCCAGACUCCUACGGGAGGCAGCAGUAGGGAAUCUUCCGCAAUGGACGAAAGUCUGACGGAGCAACGCCGCGUGAGUGAUGAAGGCUUUCGGGUCGUAAAACUCUGUUGUUGGGGAAGAACAAGUGCUAGUUGAAUAAGCUGGCACCUUGACGGUACCUAACCAGAAAGCCACGGCUAACUACGUGCCAGCAGCCGCCGUAA
rnacentral:rRNA from 1 species